rnacentral:rRNA from 1 species
CAGCCGCCACGGUAAUACGAAGGGGGCUAGCGUUGCUCGGAAUUACUGGGCGUAAAGGGCGCGUAGGCGGACAGUUCAGUCGGGGGUGAAAGCCCGGGGCUCAACCUCGGAAUUGCCUUCGAUACUGGCUGUCUUGAGUAUGAGAGAGGUGUGUGGAACUCCGAGUGUAGAGGUGAAAUUCGUAGAUAUUCGCAAGAACACCAGUGGCGAAGGCGGCUUACUGGCUCGAAACUGACGCUGAGGCGCGAAAGCGUGGGGAGCAAACAGGAUUAGAUACCCCAGUAGUCCCUGUCUCUUAUAC